GAAAGUUUUAAAAAGACAUAAAUUUCACUUACCCUUCUGUGUGUCUAAACACCCAGUUUUCCCCUGUAAGGCAUCCACUCCUAUCGGUUUCUUGUAUAUCCUUCUGGAGGUUUGCAAUGUAAGAUUUCAUAUAUGGUCAUACAAAUGUGUAUGUAUCCUUAACAUACACUCAAAUAAAUGGUAGGAAUGGUAGCAUUUAAAUAGCAUAUCCUGGCAAUCUUUUUUCUUUUUUUUAAGAUUUUAUUUAUUUAUUUGAGUGAGAGAGAGAGCAUCCAAGGGGGGGGAGGGAGAGGGAGAAGCAGACUCCCCACUGAACAGGGAGCCCCAUGGAGGGCUCCAUCCCAGGACCCUGAGAUCAUGACCUGAGCUGAAGGCCACCAAUUAACCGACUGAGCCACGCAGGGCGCCCCCUAUCUUAGCCGUCUUGCCAGUUUUCAGUCUUGAAAAUUUCUGCCAAAUUGUCCUUCCUUGCCCUUUAGGGAGGUUGUCCCAGUUUGUAUUCCUACCCACAGGAAACGUGAGAGAAAGUGCCCGCUUCCCCACAGACUCACCAACACGAUGCCUUAUCGGACCCCUUUGAUUUUUGCCAGUCUGAAGGCAAAAUAGCACCUAGUAGUUUCCGUUCGCAUUUUGUAUUUUGAAGUUCAGCAUCAACUUGAGAUGAAUUUAAAAAUAUUUUUCCAGUUUAUGUCUUGACUUUCUACAUUUAUUUGCCAUGAAAACCAUUUUUAAAAUGUGUAUCAAUUUAGUAGUCAAUUCUCUUAUGGCUUUUAUGUUUCGUUUCAUUUAGAAAGGCCCAGUUGGAGAGUACAGAAAUAAUUCAUUGUUGUUUUUUACAUGUAAAGUCUUUGAUCUGUCUGGAAAUUUUAGAGUAAGGUUAGGAGGUAUGCAGGCUUGCUUUUGAUGCAAAGAUACAUACUUUCUUUAGGAAAUUUGGAAAAACAACAGGGGGGAACGAAAACCACCCACGGCCCCAGCAGCACCAGUAUAUAUAACAAAAUCGGGACCAUACUCACACUGUAUCUUAAUUUUUUUUCACUUGAGACUAACACAGUAACAUAGAUUUAGAAAAUACUUUAAACGGAUGCUUAGUAUUGUGUCUGAAUUUUUUAAAGCCAUCCCGGUGCUUUUCUGAGGUGAAAUCUAAGGCCUUUAAAGGAGCACAUGGCCUCAGUUUUUAGGCUUGCUUUUAAGUCCUGAACAGUGUCGGAGAGCCCAUUUUAAUGAGAUGCCAGCACUCUGGCGAGCCCGGCACCCAGCGGGCCUGGAGCCGACCCGACCUGAUCGGACCCAGUAGCGGAC
rnacentral:lncRNA from 1 species